GCUUAACACAUGCAAGUCGAGGGGCAGCAUGGUCUUAGCUUGCUAAGGCCGAUGGCGACCGGCGCACGGGUGAGUAACACGUAUCCAACCUGCCGUCUACUCUUGGACAGCCUUCUGAAAGGAAGAUUAAUACAAGAUGGCAUCAUGAGUCCGCAUGUUCACAUGAUUAAAGGUAUUCCGGUAGACGAUGGGGAUGCGUUCCAUUAGAUAGUAGGCGGGGUAACGGCCCACCUAGUCUUCGAUGGAUAGGGGUUCUGAGAGGAAGGUCCCCCACAUUGGAACUGAGACACGGUCCAAACUCCUACGGGAGGCAGCAGUGAGGAAUAUUGGUCAAUGGGCGAGAGCCUGAACCAGCCAAGUAGCGUGAAGGAUGACUGCCCUAUGGGUUGUAAACUUCUUUUAUAAAGGAAUAAAGUCGGGUAUGGAUACCCGUUUGCAUGUACUUUAUGAAUAAGGAUCGGCUAACUCCGUGCCAGCAGCCGCGGUAAUACGGAGGAUCCGAGCGUUAUCCGGAUUUAUUGGGUUUAAAGGGAGCGUAGAUGGAUGUUUAAGUCAGUUGUGAAAGUUUGCGGCUCAACCGUAAAAUUGCAGUUGAUACUGGAUAUCUUGAGUGCAGUUGAGGCAGGCGGAAUUCGUGGUGUAGCGGUGAAAUGCUUAGAUAUCACGAAGAACUCCGAUUGCGAAGGCAGCCUGCUAAGCUGCAACUGACAUUGAGGCUCGAAAGUGUGGGUAUCAAACAGGAUUAGAUACCCUGGUAGUCCACACGGUAAACGAUGAAUACUCGCUGUUUGCGAUAUACUGCAAGCGGCCAAGCGAAAGCGUUAAGUAUUCCACCUGGGGAGUACGCCGGCAACGGUGAAACUCAAAGGAAUUGACGGGGGCCCGCACAAGCGGAGGAACAUGUGGUUUAAUUCGAUGAUACGCGAGGAACCUUACCCGGGCUUAAAUUGCAGAUGAAUUACGGUGAAAGCCGUAAGCCGCAAGGCAUCUGUGAAGGUGCUGCAUGGUUGUCGUCAGCUCGUGCCGUGAGGUGUCGGCUUAAGUGCCAUAACGAGCGCAACCCUUGUUGUCAGUUACUAACAGGUUCCGCUGAGGACUCUGACAAGACUGCCAUCGUAAGAUGUGAGGAAGGUGGGGAUGACGUCAAAUCAGCACGGCCCUUACGUCCGGGGCUACACACGUGUUACAAUGGGGGGUACAGAGGGCCGCUACCACGCGAGUGGAUGCCAAUCCCCAAAACCUCUCUCAGUUCGGACUGGAGUCUGCAACCCGACUCCACGAAGCUGGAUUCGCUAGUAAUCGCGCAUCAGCCACGGCGCGGUGAAUACGUUCCCGGGCCUUGUACACACCGCCCGUCAAGCCAUGGGAGCCGGGGGUACCUGAAGUGCGUAACCGCGAGGAGCGCCCUAGGGUAAAACUGGUGACUGGGGCUAA
rnacentral:rRNA from 2 species